rnacentral:rRNA from 1 species
AGUGAACGCUGGCGGUGGGCCUAGCACAUGCAAGUCGAACGGCAGCACAGUAAGAGCUUGCUCUUACGGGUGGCGAGUGGCGGACGGGUGAGGAAUACAUCGGAAUCUACUUUUUCGUGGGGGAUAACGUAGGGAAACUUACGCUAAUACCGCAUACGGCCUACGGGUGAAAGCAGGGGAUCUUCGGACCUUGCGCGAUUGAAUGAGCCGAUGUCGGAUUAGCUAGUUGGCGGGGUAAAGGCCCACCAAGGCGACGAUCCGUAGCUGGUCUGAGAGGAUGAUCAGCCACACUGGAACUGAGACACGGUCCAGACUCCUACGGGAGGCAGCAGUGGGGAAUAUUGGACAAUGGGCGCAAGCCUGAUCCAGCCAUACCGCGUGGGUGAAGAAGGCCUUCGGGUUGUAAAGCCCUUUUGUUGGGAAAGAAAAGCAGCAGGUUAAUACCCCGCUGUUCUGACGGUACCCAAAGAAUAAGCACCGGCUAACUUCGUG